CCCGCUGAACUUAAGCAUAUCAAUAAGCGGAGGAAAAGAAACCAACAGGGAUUACCUCAGUAACGGCGAGUGAAGCGGUAACAGCUCAAAUUUGAAAUCUGGCUCUUUCAGGGUCCGAGUUGUAAUUUGUAGAAGAUGCUUCGGGUGUGGCUCCGGUCUAAGUUCCUUGGAACAGGACGUCAUAGAGGGUGAGAAUCCCGUCUUUGACACGGACUGCCAGGGCUUUUGUGAUGCGCUCUCAAAGAGUCGAGUUGUUUGGGAAUGCAGCUCAAAAUGGGUGGUAAAUUCCAUCUAAAGCUAAAUAUUGGCGAGAGACCGAUAGCGAACAAGUACCGUGAGGGAAAGAUGAAAAGAACUUUGGAAAGAGAGUUAAACAGUACGUGAAAUUGCUGAAAGGGAAACGCUUGAAGUCAGUCGCGUCAUCCAGGGAUCAACCUUGCUUUUGCUUGGUGUACUUUCUGGUUGACGGGUCAGCAUCAAUUUUGACCAUUGGAAAAAGAUUAAGGGAAUGUGGCAUACAUAGUGAUGUGUUAUAGCCCUUGGUUGCAUACAAUGGUUGGGAUUGAGGAACUCAGCACGCCGCAAGGCCGGGUUUUUAUUAACCACGUACGUGCUUAGGAUGUUGGCAUAAUGGCUUUAAUCGACCCGUCUUGAAACACGG
rnacentral:rRNA from 1 species